rnacentral:lncRNA from 1 species
AUGGUAGUCCACAAAAGAGUCUCAGUAAAUGUAGAAGACCACCUGACCUGCUUCUUGAGAAAUCUGUAUGUAGGUCAAGAAGCAACAGUUAGAACUGGACAUGGAACAACAGACUGGUUCCAAAUUGGGAAAGGAGUAUGUCAAGGCUAUAUAUUGUCACUGUGCUUAUUUAACUUAUAUGCAGAAUACAUUAUGAGAAAUGCUGGGCUGGAUGAAGUGCAAGCUGGAAUCAAGAUUGCUGGGAGAAAUAUCAAUAACUUCAGAUAUGCAGAUGACACCACCUUUAUGGCAGAAAGUGAAGAAGAACUAAAGAGCCUCUUGAUGAAAGUGAAAGAGGAGAGUGAAAAAGUUGGCUUAAAGCUCAAAAUUCAGAAAACCAAGAUCAUAGCAUCUGGUCCCAGCACUUCAUGGCAAAUAGAUGGGGAAACAAUGAAAACAGUGGCUGACUUUAUUUUAGGGGGCUCCAGAAUCACUGCAGAUGGUGACUGCAGCCAUGAAAUUAAAAGACACUUACUCCUUGGAAGAAAAGUUAUGACCAACCUAGACAGCAUAUUAAAAAGUAGAGAUAUUACUUUGCCAACAAAGGUCCAUCUAGUUAAGGCUAUGGUUUUUCCAGUAGUCAUGUAUGGAUGUGAGAGUUGGACUAUAAAGAAAGCUGAGCACAAAAGAAUUGAUGAUUUUAAACUGUGGUGUUGGAGAAGGCUCUUGAGAGUCCCUUGGACUGCAAGGAGAUGCAACCAGUCCAUCUUAAAGGAAAUCAGUCCUGAAUAUUCAUUGGAAGGACUGGUGCUGAAACUGAAAUUCCAAUACUUUGGCCACCUGAUGCGAAGAGCUGACUCAUUUGAAAAGACCCAGAUGUUGAGAAAGAUUGAAGGUGGGAGAAGGGGAAGACAGAGGAUGAGAUGGUUGGAUGGCAUCACCAACUCAAUGGACAUGAGUUUGAGUAAACUCUGGGAGUUGGCAAUGGACAAGGAGGCCUGGCAUGCUGCAGUCCAUGGGGUUGCAAAGAGUCAGACACAACUGAGUGACUGA